GAGGGCAGUGACGCCGGGCAAGGGGGAUGCUUAAAUAUCAGAGGCGAGGGGAGACGCAGCUACAGCAGCAGUGACAGCCACAGAAGCAGCAGCAGCCACAGCAGCAGCAGCGACAGCAGCUACAGCAGCAGUAAACAUAAUGGGAGCUUCAGGAUCGAGCAGUCCAACCUUGGACGACGUCGGAUUCACCACCAGCGGUGUCCGCAGCGGAUCGUCCGCUUCCGGGUGGCACUCGUCUGAAGCGAAGAGCAGCGGUGGAGGAGUCUCCUCCGGGAGCACCUUUUCCAAGAUCCAGCAGAUGGGUGCUUCCGGGAAAAAAUAAGUGAGAUGGAAGCGUCGCAUCCAACCUGUUGGGUCCAGCAGGCUCCUAUGGAAAGGAUGCAGAUCUCUGUGGUUGACAUUCAAAUACGCAUGCCUAAUCUUCUCAUGAAAAUCGAUGUUUUAUUGGACGCAUCAAUGUGUUAUUGUUUAAAAAAUGGGGGUGAGACAGAUGUUUGAGAACGCCGUGGCGUGAGCCUGGAUAAGUGGAUGGGAAGUGGAUGGGAAGCAGCUGCUGCGGAUUUGUGAUGUGACCUGUGAAGACGGAGGAGGUGAAAACAUCUCGGCAGGGAUUUUGACGAAUGCACUACAUUACUGAAAUCGUGUGGUACUACGAUAUUUUCAAACGUGAAUAAAUCACAAUCUAUCAACGA